CCUCCCGAUCUCCUCUCUUCCCGAACCUCCGGUCCUCCUCGGUCUCGCCCUCCUCCCUCUCCUCUGACUCUGAGCCCGCCGACGUGGGCCCCGUCUCCGUGUCCUCGGCCAUGCCGGCGGCGGCAACGAUGCGGUCUGGCGUCGGCGCCGGCGGAGUUCCCGUCUCGUCCCCUUGCCUAUUAAUCCUGUGUUUGGACCAAGCACGACACCACCUCGGUGUUGCACGCCGCGACAAUGCCCGCCCGGGCUCAAAUCCCCCUCCCCUCACGAACUCCUCCUGGACGCGCCGCCACCCACGCUCAGACCUCGCCGCCGCCCAUGGCCUCCGUCCACGCAGGGAGAUCAAACGAGCAGAUCGAGCGGCGGCCAGAUCCAUCUGCCACGGUCGCCCAGGGCUCGCGCGCCUCGGACGACGCGGCCGUGUCCGUACGUCAAGGGCCUGGGCAGAGACGCUUCUUCUCCGCCAUGGCCAUGGAGCUUCCUCCCAAUCCAAGGUCUUGGACUGGACGGGGACGGCUGCUCUUCCAAGGUGCCUACAAAGAAGGUUGACAAAGAAAAUAGUAAUCUGAACUUGCAAAAUAUUCAUUUACAGAGAUCUAGUCCUAAUAAGACUCCAGGUUCAAGGCCAACUGCUAUUUCUAAAAAUGCGCUCAUACAAGUUGCAGCAAGGCAUUCUUGAAUGUUUAAAGCAAUGGAUCCAAAGAACUAGCUGGACUAGACUCUAGAUCAUGGACAAUUUAGUCUUCGCAGUUAAUUAGGAUGGCUAAAUUACAUUUGAGUUUCAUUUGAUGGAUAUUUGCUAUGAGAAUUAUGAAUUUUAUGAAUCUACAUAUUAUUCGUAUGGUUUUGAAUAUUGUAAUUGAAAGCCUGUUUUUUAAUGGUUGCAAUAGGCUAUUACGAUAACCCACUUUCGGUUGACA